AAUAAAGCUAUGACUGGAACGAGUAGGACGUUAAGCGCAGUGUCAGCGAAUUAGGGUUGUGGUGUGAGCCUAAUCUCUGCAACGUACCGAAUAUCCCCCAGGAGCGUCUCUUGAAACUUAGUAGAGAGAAACGGGUCAUGCCGUUACACAUGAUCGAGUGAAGAAGCUAUGAUCGGCUCGUCUGUUGGCGUGCGUUCAUGAGGCUUUUUAACGAGGGUGGUACCGCGAGUUUAAGUUUCUCGUCCCUUUC
rnacentral:ncRNA from 1 species